AUUUCUAGAACAUGGCCAACAACCCUCCUUUCUUUCCUCCUCUUUUCGUCGCCUCCAAAGGAAGAAGCCGAAGGGAGAAAGAAACAAUCCUUUCAUUAUAUCCAAAACAUGAAGAAGGUACAACGUACAAUAGUAGAGGGACAGAGACAUCCUGAAACAGAUAAAGCCGGGAAAAAGAACUGAAGACAGUAGUGGAGGUGGUGCUGUUUGAAGAACAUGAAGGGAAGAGAGGACGGGUAAGGAAGGACCAGAUGGUCCCCCUCGGGGAACCGGGCCCGGCCAGCGGACUGCCAGUUGCCCACCUUUAGAUCUAUUAGCUCUAAUUUGCUUUGUAGUCGGAUUGUCUGCCAAAAAUCAUGUACACAGUGGAGGGGGAGGCGGCACAGGAGACAAAAGGUCAACGUUUGAAAGCAAGGUCCUUAUCAGCAUGCACACUCCAAAUCCAGCAUCCUCCAAGGACAUGCUUUUUAUUUUGUUCAAUUUAUCUUACAUCUCUGCCAAGCGGUUGAACUGCUGCACGGCACAUAUUAAGGAGGCUGUCACUUUUUUUCUCAUGGCUCCCCCGGCCCCAAUAAUCAAGGGAAUUGUUAUGUGAUUCACAGAUACCAAAGGACUGCUUGCUCCUAAUUGCAAGAACCUCAAAAAAAAAAUGCCUGCUAUUCAGCUGUCAGUAUAAAGCUGCUUCCAAGUCAGAGCCUUUAUCCAUUUGGAAAAUGAAUUACGAUUGGUUCUAACCAGAGUAGAGGGAUCCCAUUUAAGAUCACUAGAGAAAUCUGGCAGCUGAUGUAGAUGGUUGCGUCAACUGAAAACACAUGCCGCAGUCAAUAUAACAUCUUUCCUGGCAGUUGCCAUGCCAUGUAUUAUAAAAUACAGAAGGUGGCAAAUAUCCAAGAGCCACAAGGAUGUCCUUGAGAAAAAUAAUGGUGAUGGUUAGGAAGUCAAGGGUUUGGGCAGGUAAGCUAGUUAGGUCAAGGGUUUCAGCUGGGGGACUAGUUUAAAAGUUGUGGUUUAUACUGUUUUAAUUGUUUUAAUUUGCCUUUUGUUUGAAUUGCUAUAUUGUGUGUUGAGGCCUUGGCCUUUGUAAGCCACAUCGAGUCCUUCGGGAGAUGCUAGCGGGGUACAAAUAAAAUUUAAUAAUAAUAAUAAUAAUAAUAAUAAUAAAAAUGGGUGAUCGGGUUUAAAAAAUAUUUCAUUAGAUAGGCUGUUUUGUAUUAAAUCGUAUGGCAGAGUUUCAACCUGCAGGUAACCAAGAAAUCUUUAUUGGACUAUUGGAUUAUGACUUGUUAGGAUUACAACCUAAUGGGGAUUAUGACCUGUUAGGAUCAUAAUCUAUUGGGUAGCAGAGUUUCAAAAGUAUUCCUUUAGUUUAUUGGGCAACUGAAGAUCACGGGGCGUGUAAAUAUCUUGUUUUUAUUUGAUGCUCUCAGCAAAGAUUCAAGUAAUCUUAUUUAAAAUAGUUCUCUUUCAUAACAAUCAACUUCCAAGGGACUAAAAGCCACAACUGUCUUCCAACGUUUAACACUGUCUUCUGUAUUCAAACAGACUCAAGCCUCAACUGUCUCUAACUCCUACUCCUGGCUUCUGUAUUCAAACAGACUCAAGCCUCAACUGUCUCUAACUCCUACUCCUGGCUUCUGUAUUCAAACAGACUCAAGCCUCAACUGUCUUCUAACUCCUAUCACUGGCUUCUGUAUUCAAACAGACUCAAGCCUCAACUGUGUCUAACUCCUACCCCUAGCUUCUUUAUUCAAACAGACUCAAGCCUCAACUGUGUCUAACUCCUACCCCUAGCUUCUUUAUUCAAACAGACUCAAGCCUCAACUGUCUUCUAACUCCUGCCACUGGCUUCUGUAUUCAAACAGACUCAAGCCUCAACUGUCUUCUAACUCCUACCACUGGCUUCUGUAUUCAAACAGACUCAAGCCUCAACUGUCUUCUAACUCUUACCACUGGCUUCUGUAUUCAAACAGACUCAAGCCUCAACUGUCUCUAACUCCUAACACUGGCUUCUGUGCUCAAGCAGACUCAAGCCUCAACUGUCAUUCCUCAACUGUCUUUCUAAACAGUCACUGAACUAGUCACAUGAUCUGCAGCCCCUUCCACUGCUUCAAGUACACAGAGCUAAGAAAACUGCAAACCAAAGAAGACAUACACUUCAAGAAAUAAACUGAGACAUUAUAAAACAGACAAACAUUAAAUAGAGAAGACUUGAGAAGACUGCUAUCUCCAACAAUCUUGUUUUUCUUUAUAAAAACAUUGGCUGAUAUGUUCUCUGCUUUGGAACUAAUUUCCGCAAAUGCCUAACUCCAAAUUUAAACUCAAGUCAUCUCCUCUUAGUCAGGAAAACAAACUAAGAUGACUCUUUACACGUGUCCUGGUCCUUGUUUUUCCUAAAUGUGUAUCUGACUUCAAUCGUAUUAUCAAUGGCCAGGUCCUGUCCUAUUUUGUAGCUCGACAAAUUUGAGUGUCACAUUUUUAAAACAUUAUAAAGAAUUAGGCAGGCCAGAGGUAAGGAUAAACAUCUAAGGAGUUUGCUUACAGGCGUUUUAAUCUCCCCCUAAGGCUGAUUUUUACGAGCCCCCUUUUUAAUGUAAAGCAAGGGUAAGUUCUUCAAAUAACUACCAUGUCUGUACACUUACCUAAGGCAGGCACUAAUGAGGAAUGGCUUUGUCCAAAUCUUGUUGUCAUUUGAUUGGUCAGCACUACCUGAAAGUGAGAGGCAAGAAAUCUACAUGGAAUAUAGGCAAUAAAGAUGGAGUAAGGGAGAGAAAAGCCCAAUACAAUUGUAAUUAAUUAAAAUAUCCUGUCUUAGUUAAUCACGUCAAUUCAGCGCUCAGGUAACCAGAAGUUAAUAAUGGCACCUCAGACACAUUGGACUAUUGGAUUAUGACCUAUUAGGAUCACAACCUAAUGGGGAUUAUGACCUGUUAGGAACAUAACCUAUUGGGUACCAGAAUUUCAAAGGUGUUCCUUUAGUAUAUUGAGUAAUGGAAGAUCACUGGGCACAUAAACAUCUUGUUUCUAUUCGGCAUUUUAGUUUGUAUCUUUGACUUAUAGUCUUUAAAAGUCUUGUCAAAAACUAUAUUGCUCUUCCAUAACAGUCUACUUCCAAGGGACCCAAGCCUCAACUGUCUUCUGAUUCCUAACACUGGCUUCUGCACUCAAACAGACCCAAGCCUCAACUGUCUUCUAACUCCUAACACUGGCUUCUGCACUCAAACAGACUCAAGCCUCAACUGUCUUCUAACUCCUAACACUGGCGUCUGCACUCAAGCCUCAACUAUCUUCUGACUCCUAACACUGAGUUCUGCACUCAAACAGACUCAAGCCUCAACUAUCUUCUAACUCCUAACACUGGGUUCUGCACUCAAACAGACUCAAGCCUCAACUGUCUUCUAACUCCUAACACUGGCGUCUGCACUCAAGCCUCAACUAUCUUCUAACUCCUAACACUGAGUUCUGCACUCAAACAGAUUCAAGCCUCAACUGUCUUCUAACUCCUAACACUGGCUUCUGCAUUCAAACAGACUCAAGCCUCAAUUGUUUUCUAACUCCUAACACUGGCUUCUGCACUCAAACAGACUCAAGCCUCAACUGUCUUCUAACUCCUAACACUGGCUUCUGCACUCAAACAGACUCAAGCCUCAACUGUCAUUCCUCAAAUUGUCAUCCUUAUAAAACAGACAAAACAUUUAAUAGGGGAGGCCUGAGAAAGUUGCGAUCUUCAAGACAUGGAAGGAGAUACUGGGCAGAGACAUGGAAGCACUUCUUCACAGACCAGUGCAUCUUGGGAGGUUGGACUGCAUAGCCCACGAGGUCUCUUCCAACUCUAUGAUUCUAUGACCACAGAACUGAACUUGCUACUGCAAGAUACUAAUGGAUAUAAAGAGAACUUGGACAUGUUCUUUUAGGAUAGGUGGGAUUAGGGUUUACCAUUUACUUCCAGGAUCAGACCCAACAUGCUUUUAAACACGAUAUUGUUAACACAGCAGAUAACCCGCAUUGCCUCUUGUCCUGCUUAUGGAUUUCCCAAUGGGAAACGUGGAUGUCUAUUGUUUGCAGCACCAUUUCUGAACUAAAAAGAAUUUUGGUUGGAUUCUGCCGACUUCUUUUCUAGUUAUGUUCUCUGGCUAACACCAUCCGCGUAACAGGACGUAUUGUCGAGGUUUAUUUUUAGCAGCAUGGCAAUAAAACGAGAAAUCCCAGCAGGCGUGCAAAAUUGCAGCUUAAGGAGGUGCCGAGUUACCUGGAAACAGGAGUGAGAGCGACAAGAACCAUUCCAGGACUUGCGUAAGCUUCAUUCCUGAACAAUCCUUGUCUGCGUGGUAGGAAUUCAGAAAAAAAAGCCACCUAUAAAUAGUUGUAGCUCAAGUGUGCCCCCCAUCGGUGCAACGCUAGCUGGAACUAUCAGCAUGCACAAUCCGUCCAAGCUGAGGCCAAAGCCUGACAGAACAAAAGAGCUUGCAAGCAAGAAGAAUGCAAGGAAGUGUUGUCAAAGGUUUUCAUGGCCAAAAUAACUGGGUUGCUGUGAGUUUUUCGGUCUGUAUGGCCAUGUUCUAAAACAUUCUCUCUUGAUGUUUCGCCCCCAUCUAUGGCAGGCAUCCUCAGAGGUUGUGAGGUCUGUUGGAAACUAGGCAAGUGGGGUUUAUAUAUCUGUGGAAUAUCCAGGGUGGAAGAAAGAACUCUUGUCUAUUGGAGGCAAGUGUGAAUGUUGCAAUUGGCUGCCUUGAUUAGCAUUGAAUGGCCUCUGGAUGGAUGCCUGCCAUAGAUGUGGGCAAAAUGUCAGGAGAGAAUGCUUCUAGAACAUGGCCAUACAGGCUGGAAAACUCACAGUAACCCAAUGCAAGGAAGCUAUCUUGCAGGCCUCUAUGUUGGAUUUUUCACGUUAUCUUUACCAUAUUCCUGUGGGUUUUUUUUUAUUUUGUACUGUGAAUUACUCAAACAUUGUGGCUAAUGAACAGACCACAAAAGUACAGUAGAGUCUCACUUAUCCAACACUCACUUAUCCAACGUUCUGGAUUAUCCAACGCAUUUUUGUAGUCAAUGUUUUCAAUAUAUCGUGAUAUUUUGGUGCUAAAUUCAUAAAUACAGUAAUUACUACAUAGCAUUACUGCAUAUUGAACUACUUUUUCUGCCAAAUUUGUUGUCUAACAUGAUGUUUUGGUGCUUCAUUUGUAAAAUCAUAACCUAAUUUGAUGUUUAAUAGGGUUUUCCUUAAUGCCUCCUUAUUAUCCAACAUAUUCGCUUAUCCAACAUUCUGCCGGCCCGUUUAUGUUGGAUAAGUGAGACUCUACUGUAGUAGCAAUUCAUAAAAACGAAAUUAUAUUUCUGUUGAUCACUGCAUCAUGUAAAUAGUGAUUUUCAUCCAACUUGGAAGGAACCUUUGGAUUAGUAUGCCUUUAAAGAUAGCCUAUAUAUAUUGUACAUUCAAUACAAACAUUCUGUUAAACAUUGUUUUUCAUUCAAUAAAGUUUGAAAACUCAAAAAAAUUACAUUAAUUGAGGCAUCAGUAGGUUAAAUGUUUUUGAAUAUUUACAUCAAGCUCAAAUUUAAGAUAAGACUGUCCAACUCUGAUCAAAUCAUUAUUCUCAUCUUCUUCGAUGUCAAUGUGGUUAUGUAUCCUUUUAAUAAUAAUAUAGUAAAAUAAUACAUGUAAUAAUAAUAAUAAAUACAGUAAAAUAAUACAAGUAAUAAUAAAUAGAGUAAAAUAAUAAAUGCAAUAAUAAUAAUAAGAUCAGAGUGAAAUAAUAAAUGUAUUAUUAAUAAUAAUAAAAGUAGAGUAAAAUAAAUGUAAUACAGUAGAGUCUCACUUAUCCAACACUCACUUAUCCAACGUUCUGGAUUAUCCAAGCCAUUUUUGUAGUCAAUGUUUUCAAUAUAUAUUUUGGUGCUAAAUUCGUAAAUACAGUAAUUACAACAUAACAUUACUGCGUAUUGAACUACUUUUUCUGUCAAAUUUGUUGUAAAACAUGAUGUUUUGGUGUUUAAUUUGUAAAUUCAUAACCUAAUUUGAUGUUUAAUAGGCUUUUCCUUAAUCCCUCCUUAUUAUCCAAGAUAUUCGCUUAUUCAAGGUUCUGCCGACCCAUUUAGCUUGGAUAAGUGAGACUCUACUGUAAAUGAAAUUAUAUUUCUGUUGAUCACUGCAUCAUUUAAAAACUGAUUUUCAUCCAACUUGGAAGGAACGUUUGGAUUAGUAUGCCUUUAAGGAUAGCCUAAACAGUAGAGUCUCACUUAUCCAGGACUCGCUUAUCCAACAUUCUAGAUUAUCCAACACAUUUUUGUAAUCAAUGUUUUCAAUACAUUGUGAUAUUUUGGGGCUAAAUUCGUAAAUACAGUAAUUACAACAUAACAUUACUGCGUAUUGAACUACUUUUUCUGUCAAAUUUGUUGUAUAACAUGAUGUUUUGCUGCUUAAUUUGUAAAAUCAUAACCUAAUUUGAUGUUUAAUAGGCUUUUCCUUAAUCUCUCCUUAUUAUCCAAGAUAUACGCUUAUCCAAGCUUCUGCCAGCCUGUUUAGCUUGGAUAAGUGAGACUCUACUGUAUAUCAUUAUAUGGUAAUAUUAUUAGUAGUAUUACAUUUAAUAUAUAAUAUAUAAUUAAUAUUAUCAUAUUGUAUUAUUAUUAGUAUAAUAAUGUAUUGCAUUAUAAAAUUAUCAAUAUUUUAAUAAUAUACAAUAUAUUUAUAUAUAUGUGUGUGUGUGAGAGAGAGAGACUCUACUGUAAAUGAAAUUAUAUUUCUGUUGAUCACUGCAUCAUGUAAAAAUCGAUUUUCAUCCAACUUGGAAGGACCGUUUGGAUUAAUAUGCCUUUAAAGCAAGCCUACAUAUAUAAUCUGCAUGAAAAUCGCUUGCCUUUUUUGCACUCAUGCAGAGUGAUAAUCUGACACAUCCUUUGUAAGAUUUCUACUACCGGUUAAGCACGGAAAGUUGCAACGCUUUAAAAUUCAACAUUGUGUGGCUUCAGCACCCUUUGCUUUUAUUCUUAGAGAUUAAUAUGUUUCAGAGCAGGUCAGGAAAGGCAUGCUCUCUCAAGGAUAACCGAGACUAAGACUCAAUGUGAGAAAUGUUUUGAGCACCCAAAGACACAGGCAGCCAUCUGUCAGAGCAGUGGAAGCCGAAGAUCAUUAGCGGUGGUUAAUGAUUCUCGCAAGCAAAGCUGGCUUCUGCAGCUAGUGCAUAAUAACAAGCACCAAUCGGGAGAUGAAUCCCUCCAAUUUUAGAAUUUUGACGGAUUAAGGCAAGCAUGGCCAAACUUUGGCCCUCCGGGUGUUUGGGACUUCAACUCUUACAAUUCCUAACAACUUGAAUAGGAAAAGAUCUAUAUAUAUAAAAGGGUAAUGAAAUUUCGGCCUAGGCCAAAACAACAAAACUACACAACCCAGAAACACUAAACUUGGCAGCACAACCCCUCAUCCAUGCCUCUACGUUCAUACAACAAAAAGAAAAGGAAAAGUCCUAAUUAGAGGGAGAAGGAAUAAUUGUUUUUAUCCAGUUGCUGCCAGUUAGAAGGCUAAGCUCCUCCCACUUGGUCUCCUAGCAACCCACUCAGCCCAGGGGACAGGCAGAGUUAGGCCUCACUUAGACCUCUUCCACACUGCCUAUAAAAUACAAAUUAUCUGAUUUUAACUGGAUUAUAUGGCAGUGCAGAUUCAAGGCCCUUCCACACUGCUAUAUAACCCAUUUAUAAUCUUAUAUUAUCUGCUUUGAACUGGAUUAUCUUGACUCCACACUGCCAUAUAAUCCACUUCAGUGUGCAUUUUAUACAGCUGUGUAGAAGGGGCCUCAUAUAAUCCAGUUCUAAGCAGAUAAUAUAAGAUCCUUUAUUUCUCAUACCACCAUACUUUGCCACAGCAACGCAUGGCUGGGCACAGCUAGUAGUCCUAUAAUGCAAGCUUAGCACAUGUUCAUUGCAGGGCUUAACAUUCUCAUUUGGUUUAACUUCUUAUUUUACACUUGCGCCCACUCUUCCCCCUCCAGAAGCCAACCCCAAAACUCACAGCUAAUGUGUGAUCAUUGGCGAUACUGAUCAGCUGCUGAGCCAAGCCAUUCAACAGCCGUGUUCGCAGGGAGAGAUCUUCCCAGUCGUGUCGGAAAGGGAAGGCAAUGCCAUCAAUCACUACCAGCCGGACCUAAUGACAGGAUACAAACAGGCUGAAAAUGAAACGGGUGAGAAGCAAAUGGGACAGUUGCAAGGGGAGACAUGGUGGAAUGGUGAGUGAUCACAAACCUUCAUCUGGAUGUGUUUCUGCAAUAAGCCGGCAAUGCUGGACACAGGCUAC